rnacentral:lncRNA from 1 species
GAGCAAUCAGAGCUGCUGCUGCAUUCUUUAAAAAUGUCUCAUAGGUGAUGGCUGCUGCGUCUGAGGCUGCAAACUCUGAGGGGAAACAGCUUCCUAAUAAGACAGAUAUGAUGAUCUGGAAGUCCAGAAAAGAAUGUGUACUGCAGAAUAUUCCAAAUGUUCCUGAUGGCAACUCUGAAGAAAGUGAAUCUGCUUCUACCUCCCCCAAUGAAGGUGAUAUCAGUGGCUCUACUGAUGAGGGCUGGUGCAAUAUAUAUACUGACCUGGAUGUGUGGGAUGGUGAAGUUUCCAAUGUACCCAAGUCUUCAGGGCAGCAAGAUGCAUCUGAGCAUGAGGUGGAGGACUGGGAUAAAGAAUUGGAGGAGGCUGCAUCUGGUCCUUAUGAUGCUGACGAUCUCUGCGGCGGAAGCUUUGAGGAAAAGAAUGUUUUCGGCUCAUAUGUGUGGAAGGAGGAUUGGUUUUACCACCCAAGCUGUCACCACACACCUUGCCUUGUGUUUCCACCACGAGUUAGAACAGUUGAGAAGGGCCAGUUUGAUGAUGCUGAUGAAUGA